CCUACGGGAGGCAGCAGUGGGGAAUAUUGGGCAAUGGGCGAAAGCCUGACCCAGCAACGCCGCGUGAAGGAAGAAGGCUUUCGGGUUGUAAACUUCUUUUGACAGGGAAGAGCAGAAGACGGUACCUGUCGAAUAAGCCACGGCUAACUACGUGCCAGCAGCCGCGGAUAUACGUAGGUGGAAAGCGUUUUCCGGAUUUACUGGGUGGAAAGGGCGGGUAGCCGGGCUGACAAGUCAGAUGUGAAAUCCGGGGGCUCAACCCCAGAACUGCAGUUGAAACUGUUGGUCUUGAGUAUCGGAGAGGCAGGCGGAAUUCCUAGUGUAGCGGUGAAAUGCGUAGAUAUUAGGAGGAACACCAGUGGCGAAGGCGGCCUGCUGGACGACAACUGACGGUGAGGCGCGAAAGCGUGGGGAGCAAACAGGAUUAGAUACCCGUGUAGUC
rnacentral:rRNA from 1 species